rnacentral:rRNA from 1 species
AUUGAACGCUGGCGGCACGCUUAACACAUGCAAGUCGAACGGUAGCAGGUUGCGUGCCUAAAUGGGCUUUUGAGCUGAAGAAGCUUGAGAGCGUAUUUAGGUACGUAAUGCUGACGAGUGGCGGACGGGUGAGUAUAACGUAGGAAUCUGCCUAGUAGAGCGGGAUAACCUAGGGAAACUUAGGGUAAUACCGCAUACGCCCUAUGGGGGAAAGCAGGGGACCGAAAGGCCUUGCGCUAUUAGAUGAGCCUACGCCGGAUUAGCUUGUUGGUGGGGUAAAAGCCUACCAAGGCGAUGAUCCGUAGCUGGUCUGAGAGGACGACCAGCCACACUGGGACUGAGACACGGCCCAGACUCCUACGGGAGGCAGCAGUGGGGAAUAUUGGACAAUGGGCGAAAGCCUGAUCCAGCGAUGCCGCGUGUGUGAAGAAGGCCUGCGGGUUGUAAAGCACUUUCGGUGGGGAGGAGAGGUUUGAGGUGAAUACCCUUGAACUGAGACGUUACCCACAGAAGAAGCACCGGCUAACUCUGUGCCAGCAGCCGCGGUAAUACAGAGGGUGCGAGNGUUAAUCGGAAUGACUGGGCGUAAANGGGUGCGUAGGUGGUUUGAUNAAGUUAGGUGUGAAAGUNCCUGGGCUUAANCCUGGGGAUNGGCGCUUAAGACUGUCAAGCUUGAGUACUGUAGAGGAAGGUGGAAUUUCCGGUGUAGCAGUGAAAUGCGUAGAUAUCGGAAGGAACAUCAGUGGCGAAGGCGACUUUCUGGACAGAUACUGACACUGAGGCACGAAAGCGUGGGUAGCAAACAGGAUUAGAUACCCUGGUAGUCCACGCUGUAAACGAUGAGAACUGGCUGUUGGGUGCCGUGAGGCAUUUAGUAGCGAAGCUAACGCGUUNAAGUUCUNCCGNCCUGGGGAGUACNGGCCGCAAGGYWAAAACUCAAAGGAAUUGACGGGGNGCCCGCACNAGCGGUGGAGCAUGUGGUUUAAUUCGACGCAACGCGAAGAACCUUACCUACUCUUGACAUCCACGGAACCUGACUGAGAGGUUGGGGUGCCUUCGGGAACCGUGAGACAGGUGCUGCAUGGCUGUCGUCAGCUCGUGUCGUGAGAUGUUGGGUUAAGUCCCGUAACGAGCGCAACCCUUAUCCUUAGUUGCCAUUGGGUAAAGCCAGGAACUCUAAGGAGACUGCCGGUGACAAGCCGGAGGAAGGCGGGGAUGACGUCAAGUCCUCAUGGCCCUUACGAGUAGGGCUACACACGUGCUACAAUGGACGGUACAAAGGGAAGCGAAGCCGCGAGGUGGAGCGAAUCUUUUUAAAGCCGUUCGUAGUCCGGAUUGGAGUCUGCAACUCGACUCCAUGAAGUUGGAAUCGCUAGUAAUCGUAGAUCAGAAUGCUACGGUGAAUACGUUCUCGGGCCUUGUACACACCGCCCGUCACACCAUGGGAGUGGGUUGCACCAGAAGUAGGUAGGCUAACCGCAAGGGAGCCGCUUACCACGGUGUGGUUCAUGACUGGGGUG